rnacentral:rRNA from 1 species
UUUUGGGGGCAGGCUUACACAUGCAAGUCGAGCGGAACGAUCCUAGCUUGCUAGGAGGCGUCGAGCGGCGGACGGGUGAGUAAUGCAUAGGAAUCUGCCCGGUAGUGGGGGAUAACCUGGGGAAACCCAGGCUAAUACCGCAUACGUCCUACGGGAGAAAGCAGGGGAUCUUCGGACCUUGCGCUAUCGGAUGAGCCUAUGUCGGAUUAGCUAGUUGGUGAGGUAAUGGCUCACCAAGGCUGCGAUCCGUAGCUGGUCUGAGAGGAUGAUCAGCCACAUCGGGACUGAGACACGGCCCGAACUCCUACGGGAGGCAGCAGUGGGGAAUAUUGGACAAUGGGCGAAAGCCUGAUCCAGCCAUGCCGCGUGUGUGAAGAAGGCCUUCGGGUUGUAAAGCACUUUCAGUGAGGAAGAAGGCCUGGAGGUUAAUACCCUCGAGGAAGGACAUCACUCACAGAAGAAGCACCGGCUAACUCCGUGCCAGCAGCCGCGGUAAU